rnacentral:lncRNA from 1 species
AGCCAUUUUCCAAAUCAUUUACAUACUGAACACACACACACACAACAACAACAACCCAUUAAACAGAGGAAAAAUAAUAACAAAAAAUAAAGUAGAUACCUAUAGAGCUUAGCUUUCCAAUAACACCUCUUUGCAAGUUGACUUAUUGUGGCCUGUACCCUUGCAUCUACUGCAUUGGAGUUGACGCCUAGUUACUUCAUGGGAACCAACCUUCUUAGUAGUUGGCCGCCCUGGUGGACGACGGGUGGGAGGAGGGUUUACUGUUACAGCAGCUUGAGAAGCAUCCUUUUUUUUGGGCCUUUCUAAGCUUGGAAUUGGAUGUAUUGAUUCUGAAUAUGUUGAUCUAUAACUAUCAGCAGUAAAGUAUCUGGCACAAUAGUCGUAUGGAUCACGGCCAAGGCAAACCAUGACAG